GCUGUCAACAGUGGGAAUGUGGCCUCAUGUUUUCCCAGCCCCAUGAUUGCAGAAGGCACUCAUGCCAUGGGGACAGGUGUAAGUUCCCUGUUUUCUUCCUGAGGACACUGGACUGAAUGAGCUCUGUAGGAAAAACAUGGCAAGAGCACAUGCAGGCUGAGAGGGACAGAAUCUGCCUUUCCAGGUCUGUGCUUAUAUUUAUUCUUCCUUUUCAAUUUGCCACAGUAUCCUUGAUUCCAGCUGCAUCCAUUUCUCUUUUCAUAAGCAGGCCUCGCAUGAAGGAGUGCUCUGGCACUCUUGGGCCAGGAGAGGGCAGUAUUUAGAAGCAAUGAGCAAACUUCAGGGGCUAGCAUUUCUGGGCCAAAGAUAAACAUACAUACUGUGGAGGGAUGUGUGUUUACUCCUGAAGUCGUAUCGACUGACUCUUUCACCUUCAUCCUCCCUGCCAGCAUUUUGAAGGAAUAAUCUUAAAUACGUGGGAUAUAGAUUCCAACUUAGCUUCAUAAUAGGCUGUUUGGGCGGGUUUUCUGAUAAAAUGUACACAAAGCAUACAAUGCAAAUGUCUAGACAUUAACAGAAAAUAUAUAGUUACUCAGGCAAAACACUCUGCUUGAAGUGUGUAUGGCUUUAUGGAAUCGGAGAAAUAGAAUUCACAUUCCAUCCAUUUUUUUAAAAUAAUGAUACAAAUUAUUUAGUCACUUUCCUAAUGUAUUUGUUGAGAUCUCACAGGAGCUACACAGUGCAGAGAUAAUGCUGAUGACAGCAACUAAGAGGGAUUCUGAGCGCUAAAGAUGAAUGAUGCGGGCUUGAAAGAAGCUAUCAUUUUAAAGAAGAAAGAGAAUACCCUAAAAAGGGAAAGUCACGAGGAAAAAGGCCACGUUACGUGGGAUAUGGCAAUCUGACAGUGUCUUCAUGGACAGAGCUACCGGUUGAACCGAAGGCCUUCACUCUGAGGUGCAUCCCACUUUUAUUCUUUGAGAGAAGAUCUCAUUAAGUUGCUAAAUUGUCCAGACUGGGUUUUAAAUUAAGAUCCUCCUGCCUCAGCCUCUUGGAAUGCUGGGAAAACAGGCACAUGCCACCGUGCUCAAGGAAUUGUAUUGUUCUUAAAGUACUGUUGAUAGAAACCUAAGAAACUUUAGAGCUUACAGCUCCAGUUAAAAUCCCACCUCCACCAUUAUUAUCAUAGUGUCUUGAAUAAACCGUUUGUUUUCUGUGCCUUGGCUCUUUAUUACAUGGGAUAGAAAAUGUUAAUAUUUACCUCAUAUCUUGGUGAGUGACAGAAAUAAAGCACUAGAAACAGUCCUGCUACGAAGAGGUACUUAACAAAUACUGCUUAUCACGGUAAAGACAGGCAGUGACUACUCGGCUUCUUUGCCUUUCCCCAGGUUUCCCGUCUUUGCUUCGGGCUGUGUGCCUAAGUAAAUGCCAUGAUUGACGCUGCAGAAAGAGCCAGGCUCCCCCCACACUCUGCCCCAGUGCAGGAAAAGAAUUUGCAGCCUACAUGUUCCAAAUGAUCUAGCUCCGAGAUGCAGGAGCUAAACCCACAUAGCAGUUGGCUGAGAAAGACAAAUUUGUGUUGUGUUAAGUCACUGAGACUUCAGGACCGCUCUGUUACCACAAGGCAGUUUCACUGUGUCACAGGAAAUACAAGACUUUACCUUCUGUGUUUCUCUGUUUGUAUUUUAAAGAAGACUAACAAAAUCCUAAGAUAAUCUAAGCAGCAGAACGUGUAGUUUUUAAUAAUCAAAAUUCAGUCUCCGUGAAGAGUAGUACUUGAUGUGUAUCAUAUUCACCAUUUAAACCGCCUCAGUACCUAGAAUAGCUUUGGGCACAAAGUGAGUGCUUAAGUAUGUAUUUUUGUGAAAGUGUACAUAUUUUUAAUACAUAGGACACUGCAUAUAUAUUUUUUUUAAUUUUAGAGGAAAAAGAUAAAAUUUCACAACAAAAUAGUAGAAUUACAAUAGUUAAUACACUGCAUCUUGUUAUCUUUAAAGUUUGCUCAAAGUACAAGAUAUGGGCAUAAAAUUUCUCCAAUUGAUAUUAGCACAAACCGUCCUUUUUAAUGAACUCAGAGACCCGACUAGUAAAGCUAACUUGCAUUUACUUUCUUUUCCCUUCCUUCCUUCCCCUGUUCUAAUGCUUUAUCCCUUUUGAACAAUUUUUCCCCAUUUCAGUAUCUAUUGAACAUUUUAGACCUUUAAUCCAUCAGUUUCUCACACUGGGGAGAAAAUGUAAUGUUUACACAAGUGAAUAUGAUUUAUUUCACUUAUGAGUAUGGUCUCAAACUGCAGGACAAAAGUCUCCGGUUUAUCCUUCUUUAUAGCUGAAUAGUAUUCUAUUAUCUACAAAAAACACAUCUUUUUUUUAUCUAUUCUACAGUUGAUGGACACUUAGGUUGUUUCCAAGAUCUGGUUAUUAUAAAUUGUGCUUCAUAAACAUGAGUGCAUAUAUAUCACUGUGGUGUGAUGUUUUUAAUUCUUCUGGGAAAACACAGAGGGAAACAGUUGAGUUGAAUGGAACUUCCAAUGCUAGUUUUUGAGGAAUCUCCACACUGAUUUCCACAGUGAUUGUACCAUUCUACAUUCCCCCCAAAAGUGGAGAAAGGUUCCUUUUUCCCCAAAGUCCUGUCAACAUUUUUAAGGUUGAUUUCUUGAUGAUAGCCAUUAUUUCUGAAGUGAGGUGAAAUCUCAUUGUUAUUUUAAUUUGCAUUUUUUUUUUUGUACCGGGGAUCAAACUCGCAACCUUCGGCUUGCCAGGCAGGCUCUUAUGCCGCUGAGCUAAAUCCCUAGCCCAAAUUUGCAUUUCUUGAGUGACCGAUGAUGUCGAAAUUUUUUCAUAUAUUUAUUUGCUAUUUGUAUUUCUUCAUCUGAGAAGUGCAUAUUCAUCUCAGAUGCCCACUUUUGGAUUGGGCCUUUGAAUUUGGGGAGGGGUAUGAUUUUUUUUUCAUUUCUUUAUUUUCCAGAUAGAAAUCCUUUGUCUGAGGGCCAACUAACUAAAAUCUUACCCCAGUCCAUGGGUUUUCUUUUAAUUCUAUUGUGAUUACUUUUGACGUGCAAAAGCUUUUUAAUAAGAUGAGAUUCCAGUUGUUGAUUCUUUGAAAUAUUUCCAGGGCAGUCUGGGUUUCGUUCAUGAACGCUCUGCCUACACCUUUAUCUUCAAAAUUUCUGCCUACUUUCUCUUGCAGUAGAGUUAGUGUCUCUGGUUCAUUAUUUAGAUCUCUCGUCCAUUUUGACUUUAGUUUAAUGCAUGGUGAUAGACAUGGGUCUAGUUUUAGUCUUUGGCAAGUAGAGACUCUGCUUUUCCAGCACCACCUGUUAGUCUACCUUUUGGAAACAAUUUGCCAAAGCAAUUAGACAAGAGAGACAAAUAAAAAGAAUACAGAUAAGAAAAGAAGUUAAGUUAUCAAUAUUCGCAGAUGGUAUGAUGCUCUAUAUAGAAGACUCCAAAAGCUCUAGCAAAAGAUUUGUAGAUUUAAUAACCAAAUUCAGUUUUAUAGCUGGAUACAAAGUCGAGACUCAAAAAUCAAUAGGAUUUCUGUACCCAAAUGACAAAUUUACUGAGAGUGAAAUUAGGAAAGUAUUCUCUUCACAAUAGCAUCCAAAAAAAAAAAAUGAAAUACUGAGAAAUCAAUCUAAUAAAGGAAAUAAAAGAGCUAUAUAUUGAAAUAUAUAGUAUUCUGAAAAAAUCAAUCAAAGAGAAUGUCAGAAAAUGGAAAGAUAGCCCUUCUUCAUAGAAAUAGCAAACAUUGUGAAAAUGGCCCUACUCCCCAAACUGUACACAGAUUUAAUGAAAUCCCAAUCAAAAUAUCAUUAAUAUACCUUGCUGAACUAGAGAAAACAUUCUUAAAAUUUAUUUUGAAACAGAAGAGACCUAGAAUAGUAAAGGCAAUCCUGGACAGCAAAGACAUAGCAUCAUAAUCCAAGACUUGAAAUUAUACAACAAAGCUACAGUUGUACUGGCAUGGUCCUGGAAAAACAAAACCAAGAAACAGACCUGAGAAUCAAUGGAAUGGAAUAGAAGAUGCAGAAACAACACCAGCCACAAUCAGCCGUGUUAUCCUUGACAAAAGUUUCAAACAUGCAUACAUUGUAGAUUGUGUGAGAUAUCCAAGUCAUGGUAAUCAAUAGAAUGGAAUAGAGGAUGCAGAAAUCAACCCACACAACUAUGGCUAUCUGCUUGUUGACAAGGGGACAAAUAUAUGUUAGUAAAAAGACAGCUAAUGAUACUGGGAAAACUGGAUAUUCAUAUGUAGAAGAUGAAAACUAGAUCCUUAUCUCUCACCUUGUACUAAAACAAUAUCAAAAUAGAUCAAAGACCUAAGUAUAACCCUAGUGUCUGGUCUUGAAAGCCCUCAAGGUUCUCAUUCUUGUAUUUUGAUUUUAUACUAUUUUGAUGUGUAUUAACUUAUUGUGUGUGAAAAUAUGGACAACUAUUUUGAAGAAAACAAGAUAUUACAGUAGCCAUUAUUGAUUUCCUGCUGUCUUUUUCUGAAAUCCUGUGUUAUUUGCAUUGUUUUACUUUGCUCUGCUUUGUUCUGUUUUGUUUUGUUUUAGUUUGGUUUGGUUUGCUUUGCUUUAUUAUCUUUAAAAUUUAAAAAACCUGAAAAUUUGAAAUUGCUAGAAUAAAAUAUAGGAGAAAUACUUGAAGCCAUAGGCAUAGGCAAAGACCCCCUGGAGAGGAUCAAGGUACUACAGGAAAUAAAAUAUCAAGAAUCAGUCAAAUAAGAUAGCUAAUAUGAUUGUACUACUAUGAUUAUUAGUUCAUGGAAAGAAAAUGUGCUUAUGUUGUUUGAUCUGGUUUACAUCCCUGUAUCUUGUAAUCUGAGAAACUAUUUCAAAGACAACAAUAUGCAAUACAGUAACCAUUGUUAAUUCCCUAUCAUCUUGUUUGAAAUCCUAUAUCAUUUUUAUUGUUUUGUUCUUACAGUUUUGUUUUCUUUUAAUCUCUUUUAAAAAAGAAUCAAUCAAUGAGGUUACAAUAAAGGGAACAAUUAACCAACUAAAA